rnacentral:lncRNA from 1 species
CUUCAAUGCUUCCCAAACACCCUCUAGAGAUCCCUAACCACCCGGAAUGCAUUUGCCAAGGAAAACACCAAAAUUACUUUCACAGAAUACAAGUCAGCUGCCAAAGGGCCAACGCUUACCCAUAUUCACGUUAAACCAAAUAGGUCUAAACAUAAGAACACUGACUCAAGACAGAAUCUUCAUGCUGCAUGUCCAUUGGGUUAAGAAGGCAGAAAGUGUUUCAACUUGGGCCUUUUCUACAAGAUCAGGAUUUCUCAGUCAGUAAUUGCAGUGAACUCAGAAGAAGGGGUGACGGUGAGAGGAGAGGAGAACAAUUAAGAAAUGAAACAUGAGAGCCCAAAGCAAGGGUGACUAAUUUCAUGAUCAUUGUGAAUACUUAUUUUAUCCAAAAAGUACUAAAUGAUGAGAUUUAAAUGGCAGUGCAUCCAAGAACUGAAAAGAUAUUAGUGCAAAGAUAAAGAGAUUCUAUCUUUGGUGAAGAAGAUAAUAUCAUGAAGUCAAUAGGAUGAUAGAAGUUAAAUUUAAAAUAAUUAAAUUAAAUUAAAGGAAAACAGAAGGGACUGAUUAUCCUCAGAAGAUAUUUCCAAGGGAAGUCAAGAAGAUUGUACCACA